GCCGCGGGGCGCGGCCCGGUCCGGCCCUGCCGCACGGCCCCCCCUGGAGCCCGGCAGCGGGCGGCCUCCCGCAAGGCGCCGUUCCAGCCGCCGGCCCGGCCCCGAGGCUCCAGCGGGGCUGGCCCUCAUCCCGACACCUCGUAACGCCGAGGUCCCGAAGCCGCCCGCCGGGAAGAAGCUUCUACAACUAAGAAGAACUACCUGUGACAGAAACAAAAAACUGAAUAGUUGUCUGAAUUUGACUUAUCUUCCCAAGAAGAUAAACUCAUUUAAAAAAUAGUGACUCAAAGGGAUCCUGAUGAAUAAAAAGACACAAAGUGAAGGCAAGGCAAUGGAUUGACUUCCACAAGCUUCAUUAGCCAGCAGUGAUUAGGAGAGGACACUCAAGAAUUCCAGACCAAUUUUGAAAACUCUUUCUUUAAAGGUUUCCAGAAAAGUUGUAUUAAGGUGGCUUUUGUUUUCCUGUAGCUCACUGUUGACUGUUCAGAAUGGAUUUCUGGAAAAGAAAAAAAAAAAAAAAUGAAAGCAAGCAAGCAAACAAAACCCCGGCCUUUUUAUUAUUGAUCACUUUAAGGUAUUUGGUUCAGUAUAUUGGAUGGUACUACCAGAAUCUGUAUAUUGGGUCAUCCUACUCGGAUAAUUCUGAUUUAUCAUUCAUUGUGAAGAGGAUGACAUCUCCAUACCUUUUCUGGGGCAGCUGAAAAAGAAGCUAAAAACUUCUGGUGUGCCAGGUUCUUUCUAGAUUACUAAGCAGGAAAAACAAUGAUGAAGGAGGAACUUUUUCCUAAGCAAAACUCCACGGCAGACCCCAGCAGCCAAGGAAACCUUCUGGACCCUGGAACAGAUAAUUUUCUGACUCCCUUCAACCUCAGGUUAUUUCCUGUUCUCCAGCUGUGAUGAUUUCACUCAAUCAUAGUCACUCAGACGCUAUUGCCUACUACAUAUGGGAGAAGCAACAUUUGUCCAGCAGUUCAGAACUGCUUUAGAAAAAAGAAGAGCUGUACUUCUCAGAAGAAUAAAAGAAAAAGAACUAAGCAGAAAGGAGCACUUAUUUUGGCCCACACAUGUAUGUAAUGGUGCGACGGUGACAAAUGGAGUGUGAGCACCACGGUGUCUACAACUUGGGUUUGAAAUAAUAAUCUUAGCAAGAUGUGAACAUGACCACACACAUCAAAAGGAUGUUCCAAGAUGCUGCUUGCCUCUUUCUGUGCAUCCACUUCCCAGCAUGCUAAGCAUAAAAUUCCUUAGAAAGGAAAAUCCUGAAAAAAACAAUGUUGGGGGAGGAUGCAUGUUGGAGGAGUAUACCAGACAUCUGAU